UCGCCACGUGCAGUUUAAAUUGGGCUCUCAUUUGGAGGCCAAAUCACCUGACCAUACCACAUGAGCUACUGCACAUCCAGAAUUGUCUCUGUAGUAGCAGAUGACUCAAGAACUGAAGAGGACACUACCAGACCUUCCGAGGACCUAGCCGAGCGUCCAGCCCAGCCUACUCCUAUUGGAGUCUGGGCAGCCACUGUCAUCUUCCACCCAUGGACUAUUCCUGCAGCUCAUCCUCUCUGCUUUCCCAGAUCACUCAAGUCCCCAUAAAAUUCUUGCCCUGUGUUAUUGAAAACCACAGCCUAAAGGAAUCUGUUGGAGAUCUAUUCUUCUAAGCAUGUUUCCAUUAGCUGAACAGGCGGAUAUCUACGCAAUAUGAUGUCUUCUGUCCAGAAUCUUUUCAGAAACAUCAAGACCUGAGCAAGCAAUAAAGCUGUGUUUUAACUCCUUCUCACCUCUUUUCAACACAAGAAACCACACCCAACCAAACCCGUGGUAGAAUUUACUUAAAGGGGGGAAAAAAAAUCUCAUUUCCCCCCAAACACAGUUCUGUGGCAAGUUUUGCCAAUGACCUCAGUAGGUGCAACACCCCCUAAACAUCCUUUGU